rnacentral:rRNA from 1 species
UAUACAACUCUUAACGGUGGAUAUCUCGGUUCUCGUAACGAUGAAGAACGCAGCAAACUGCGAUACGUAGUGCGAAUUGCAGGACUUUGUGAAUCAUCAAAUCUUUGAACGCAAGUUGCGCUCACAGCAUAUAUGUUGUGAGCAUGCCUGUUUGAGUGUCGUUUAC